rnacentral:snRNA from 1 species
CAACUCAUCUUGCAGGGGAAAUACCAUGGUCAUGAAAGUGGUUUUCCCAGGGUGAGGCUCAUUCAUUGCACUUCAGGUGUGCUGAUCCCUGUGAUUUUCCCAAAUGUGGGGAACUCAACUGCAUAAUUUGUCGUAAUGGGGGAUUGCAUUUGUGCUUUUCCUGG